GGUGGACCAGGAGCGUCCCGAAAGCCGCAUACGAGCUCCCGAUCGCCAUCUCGCGUCCAUCUGAAGAGACGAAACCGAAGAAGGACACGUAUACACACUCCCUUCCAGUCCGAAUGAACUCACCAGUGAGAAAGAACACAAAUAACCAUUCCAUCAUCGGACAGAGCUUCACAUUAUGAAUUGAAAGUCAUCUUUGACCACUCGUUCAAUUUAAAUAGCGCUUGAGAUUCACACCGUUGACUCAUACCAGCUUCCCAGCUCAACAACAGAACAAAAUUUUCCUCCAGGAUCUUCAAUUCCUUCAAAGGUAAUCCGAUACCUGUGAAGAUAUCAAGGGAGAGUAGGGGGAAGCACAUUUCAUUCGACCACUAAGGUUUAACCUAAAGAUGUUGCUAAAACCUACACAGAGGGAGACCUUCUAGUUGAUGACAAUCCAGAAAUUAAAUAGCUGUGCUAUAAAAGAAAAGAAGUAGGGGUUGGGGAUUUAGCUCAGUGGUAGAGCGCUUGCCUAGCAAGCGCAAGGCCCUGGGUUCGGUCCCCAGCUCUGAAAAAAAAAGAAAAAAAAAUUUAAAGAAAGGAAGUAGAACCAACAUUAUACUCCUCUAUGAAUGGAUUAAUCAAUCUAUAUACCUGUCUCCUUUCAUUUGUCCAACAGUGGUCUGUGAAAAAAUAUUUAAUUACUAGCUAAGGAAACUGGAAGGGAAUAAAGUGGUUUAGUGAUGCUCUAAUAGUGACUGACAGAGCUGAGACCUGGUGGGGAAGAUAUGCCCAACCCUUUGCUUUCUCUAAUGAAAUCUGGGUAACAUCCCAUCAGGCUGGUAACAGGAAUCCUGACUUUGUUGUGUCAUGUGAGCUGGCUUCUAAAUUCUCCCAACGCUGAAAUUCCAUGAACUUCAGUGUAAUUCUGUGAUCUGUUUUUCCUCUUGAUGAAGUCAUUCCUCCUUUCUCAAACUGAUGGGGAGCUAAUGAUUCUGUACUGAAUUCAUUUGUUGCUGCACUUUUUAAGUUUUUACUUGUAUUUCUUUCUGUCUAUCUGUCUAUCUGUCUGUGGGAACCCACAUGCCAUGGCAUGCACAUAAAGAAGGGGACCUUGCAGAAGUCAGUACUCCCCAUCAUGUGGAGCCCAGGGAUCGAACUCAGGUAUGCAUGUUUGGCAGCAAGCACUCUUACCCACUGAGUCAUCUUGCUGCCCUGUAUCUUUUUUUUUUUUAAUUGGUUUUUCAAGGCAAGGUUCCUCUGUGUAGCCCUGGCUGUCCUGAAAUUAGAUGUGUAGACCAGGUUGGCCUUGAUGUCAGAGAUCUGCCGUCCUCUUCCCUUCACCAAUCCAAGGUUCUGGAAUUAAGGGCAUGCACCAGGCUGGAGAGAUGGCUCAGUGGUUAAGAGCACUGACUGCUCUUCCAGAGGUCCUGAGUUCAAUUCCCAGUAACCACAUGGUGGCUCCCAACCUUCUGUAAUGGGAUCCAGUGCCCUCUUCUAGUGUGUCUGAAGACAGCUACAGUGUACUUACAUGAAUAAAAUAAACGUGUCUUUUAAAAAUAAUAAUAAUAAUAAUAAAGGCAUGCACCACCACUUCCA
rnacentral:sRNA from 1 species